rnacentral:rRNA from 1 species
CCUACGGGGGGCAGCAGUGGGGAAUAUUGGGCAAUGGGCGCAAGCCUGACCCAGCAACGCCGCGUGAAGGAAGAAGGCUCUAGGGUGGUAAACUUCUUGUAGCAGGGACGAAGCAAGUGACGGUACCUGAUGAAUAAGCCACGGCUAACUACGUGCCAGCAGCCGCGGUAAUACGUAGGUGGCAAGCGUUAUCCGGAUUUACUGGGUGUAAAGGGCGUGUAGGCGGGAAAGCAAGUCAGAUGUGAAAACCAUGGGCUCAACCUGUGGCCUGCAUUUGAAACUGUUUUUCUUGAGUACUGGAGAGGCAGACGGAAUUCCUAGUGUAGCGGUGAAAUGCGUAGAUAUUAGGAGGAACACCAGUGGCGAAGGCGGUCUGCUGGACAGCAACUGACGCUGAGGCGCGAAAGCGUGGGGAGCAAACAGGAUUAGAUACCCCAGUAGUC